ensembl:lncRNA
CUGCGCGGGAAGAUUGGAGGCGGCAGAGCUUGCGUCCAGCAGAGUUUACUGAGUUUUGUUGAACCCCUGGAGUGUGCCAGGCCCUCUCCAGGACCUGAGGUCAGCCGGUAAUGCUCACGGCUAGGAGCUGGACAGCAGGUCGAGGGUGGAACUGAGAGCGUGAACCUGCUGAGGUGUGAACAAGCACAGUGGACACCUGCGUGCGUUCAGUCGUGUCUGACUCUGUGACCCCACGGACUGCAGCCCGCCAGGCUCCCCUGUCCAUGGGAUUCUCCAGGCAAGAACCCUGGAGUGGGUUGCCAUGCCCUGCUCCAGGGGAUCUUCCCUACCCAGGGAUCAAACCUGCAUCUCCUGCAUUGCAGACAAAUUCUUUCCCAGCUGAGCCAUCAGGCAAGCCGGGUGGACAUCUGAAGCAGCC